ACCAUACCAUGCUGAAUAUACCGGUUCUCGUUAGAUCACCGAAGUCAAGCAUCAUUGGGCGCGGUCAGUACUUGGGUGGGUGACCACCUGGGAACACCGCGUGCCGUU